rnacentral:rRNA from 1 species
UCCUGCCGGACCUGACUGCUAUCGGAUUGAUACUAAGCCAUGCGAGUCUUUGUAGUAAUACAAGGCAGACGGCUCAGUAACACGUAGUCAACCUACCCUAUGGACAAGAAUAAUCUCGGGAAACUGGGCAUAAUUCUCGAUAGAUCAUAAUGCCUGGAAUGGUUUAUGGUUAAAAUGAUUCGUCGCCAUAGGAUGAGACUGCGGCCUAUCAGCUUGUUGGUGAGGUAAUGGCCCACCAAGGCGAUUACAGGUACGGGCUCUGAGAGGAGAAGCCCGGAGAUGGGUACUGAGACACGGACCCAGGCCCUAUGGGGCGCAGCAGGCGAGAAAACUUUGCAAUGUGCGAAAGCACGACAAGGUUAAUCCGAGUGAUUUCUGCUAAAGAAAUCUUUUGCCAGUCAUAAAACCACUGGUGAAUAAGGGGUGGGCAAGUUCUGGUGUCAGCCGCCGCGGUAAAACCAGCACCUCAAGUGGUCAGGAUGAUUAUUGGGCCUAAAGCAUCCGUAGCCGGCUUUGUAAGUUUUCGGUUAAAUCCAUGUGCUCAACGCAUGGGCUGCCGAAAAUACUGCAUGGCUAGGGAGUGGGAGAGGUAGACGGUACUCAGUAGGAAGGGGUAAAAUCCUUUGAUCUAUUGAUGACCACCUGUGGCGAAGGCGGUCUACCAGAACACGUUCGACGGUGAGGGAUGAAAGCUGGGGGAGCAAACCGGAUUAGAUACCCGGGUAGUCCCAGCUGUAAACGAUGCAGACUCGAUGAUGCAUUGGCAUAAUAGCCAGUGCAGUGUCGCAGGGAAGCCGUUAAGUCUGCCGCCUGGGAAGUACGUACGCAAGUAUGAAACUUAAAGGAAUUGGCGGGGGAGCACCAC